CGCGCGACCGCGCCGCGCUCCUGGGCGCCUCGGGGCCCCAGCGGGAGGCAUGGACCAGCAAGGGCCCGUCGUACGGCGACAUGUACACCCAGAACGUGGUCAUCAGCAUGGAGGAGCAGGAGGACCAGCGCCGGCAGGCCAGCGAGGGCAAGCCCGUCAAGGAGAGGCCCGUGUGGCUGACCCAGAGCACCGUGCAGGGAGCCUACAGCGAGCCGGACGCCGCCAAGAACCCCGGAGAAAUCGCAGGCAGCCAGGACGGCGCCGGGGGCCCACGGAUUGGACCAAUCGGACGAGAACGAGGAAGUGAUGCGCGCCCUCCUCAUCCACGAGAAGCGGGGCGCGGCCGGCGCCGGCGGAGGCGGAGCGACCAGCGGGGCGAGCGCCGCGGCCGCCGCCCGCACCCUGGCCACCGCCGGCGGCAGCGACUCGGACAGUGACACCAGCGAGUCGGACGACGACAAGCCCGCGGCCCCUCCCCUCGUGGCGGCGGCGGCGGCGGCGGCUCGACGUGCCGGCGGUGGCGGCGGCGGCGGCGGCGGGGGGGCGUCCAAGAGGCAGCACCAGGAGAUGGACGACGACGACGACGACGAGUUCGAGGAGGUGGGCGACGAGCCCACGGUGAUGGUGGGCGGGGAAGUCGUUCUCCUACCGGGAGGUCAGCCAGCGGCCCCAGCUGGUGGAGCAGAUGAGCGCGCAGGAGAAGGAGGCCUACAUCGAGAUGGGGCAGAACCUCUUCCAGGACAUGUACUUCUGAGGAAGACGCACAAACGCUCGCGCUCGCGCACGCGCACAAACGGCUGCGUAAGAGGAUGGGCUUGAGGCGGGACGGGAGAGGCGUAGCGAUCGGGUUUCGUUGCCUGCCUUCCUCUAGGUCGUCCAUGCUUUAAGUAUUGUGUCCCCGGAGUAUUCCCUCAAGUCGACACUCUCGACUUGGAGGACUUGACUUGGGAAUCGGCAGGCUGCCUUUUUUUUUUUUACUGAGUGCCAAUUUAUACUUUUGGUUUGUUUUCGUGGGGCUUCUGGUAUUUGUACAUGCUUCGGUCCCCGGCUUGAAUCUCAAGCCUGAGUACCACAAUAUGGUCCCGACGUUUUUUUAGAAGCCUUCCAAAAUCUGAAGUGUAAUUGCUGAAGAUAUGCAGAAUCAUGAUGGUUAUGUUUGACUUGAGCAGAUGAAUAAACAAGAUGGGGAACAGAUGUUUGUGUGUGGGUUCCUAUGUGUGCAUUUUAUGAGAACUCAAAUUACAUUCUACUGGAUGAAUCGGCAUUGCUUUCUAAAUAAAUAUAUAAGAACACUGUAUGCAAUACCAUCUUACAAUGUGCACAAUUUCCUCCACAAUUUACAUCUACUUAUGAACCACAGGUAGGAUUUCAAGGUUCAGCCAAAGUUCUUCCCUGUAUUUGCAGUAAACUAUUCCUAACAAAAAAUAAUAAUCUGGUAACUGCUGAAGACCUCUGGC
ensembl:lncRNA